rnacentral:rRNA from 1 species
CUUUCUAUUCGGAGAGUUUGAUUCUGGCUCAGAACGAACGCUGGCGGCGUGGAUAAGACAUGCAAGUCGAACGAGAUGUGGUAAU